rnacentral:rRNA from 1 species
GAUGAACGCUGGCGGCGUGCUUAACACAUGCAAGUCGAACGAAGCACUUAAACGGAAGUUUUCGGAUGGAAGAUUAAGUGACUGAGUGGCGGACGGGUGAGUAACGCGUGGGCAACCUGCCUCAUACAAGGGGAUAACAGUUAGAAAUAGCUGCUAAUACCGUAUAAGCUUACGGUACCGCAUGGUACAGUAAGAAAAACCCCGGUGGUAUGAGAUGGCCCGCGUCUGAUUAGCUAGUUGGUAAGGUAACGGCUUACCAAGGCGACGAUCAGUAGCCGACCUGGGAGGGUGACCGGCCACAUUGGGACUGAGACACGGCCCAAACUCCUACGGGAGGCAGCAGUGGGGAAUAUUGGGCAAUGGGCGAAAGCCUGACCCAGCGACGCCGCGUGGAGGAAGAAGGUUUUCGGAUUGUAAACUCCUGUCUUCGGGGAAGAUAAUGACGGUACCCGAGGAGGAAGCCACGGCUAACUACGUGCCAGCAGCCGCCGUAAGAC